GCUGGGCACAGUGGUGCAUGCCUGUAAUCCCAGAGACUUGGGAGGCUGAGGCAGGAGGAUCACGAGUUCAAAGCCAGCUUCAGCAAUUUAGCGACACUAAGCAACUCAGUGAGAUCCUGUCUCUA
rnacentral:sRNA from 1 species